rnacentral:lncRNA from 1 species
CGCCGCCCGUCCCUCCGCAGCCGACGGCAGCCUGCAGCGGCCGCGGGGACUGGACUCCUGCGCUCUGGUCGCCAGGCGCGUCGCGGGGCGCUGGAGGGGGAACAGGGCUGCGCUGGUGUCCCCACCAGCCCACAUACGGACUUGCUGCUGCUUCCCACACCAGCUGCGUCCUCUUUUCUGAGGCGCCUGGAGAACUAUUGGCAGUCAUGGGUACCUCAUUUUCCUGAGAGGACUUGGAGUCCUGUGAAGGAUUUGGAAUUUGACGCCUCAGAUGUGCCCAAGCACAGCUUUGCGGGUUUACUCCAGGUGGCUGCUGAGCUCCACUCUGGCCCUGUGGAAGGUAUUUGGCACCCAGCGGGACACCAGACUCAAUACCCUGCAGCUGCUCACAGACAUCCUGGAAAAGACCCGCUCCCGAGAGGACGCAGUGGAGAUGGACGCCCAGCCCAUGGUGAUUUCUAGAAUGGGCAAAGGACACGCCCACGUAAAGGCAGUUCCGGUAGAUCUUGGACAGAGCUCUUGAAGCCUGCCCAGCCCAGGCGCAGUGGCCCUGCCAGCUUGAGGACACCACCCCCUGCACCCGGAGUCUGGGAUGUUCAGGAAUCGCGAAGAAGGCAGACUUUGGCUGUGGGAGCUGAGGACAGCAAUUGGUUCGGAGGCCCCAGGCCUGUUCCGUUCUGGGACUUUGUGGAUGCUUGUUCCGUGA